UAAGGAAUAUUGCUCAAUGGGAGAAAUCCUGAAGCAGCAACGCCGCGUGGAGGAUGAAGGGUCUAUGACUUGUAAACUCCUGUAAAGAAGGAAAAAAUUCCCAUUUGAUGGGAGAUGAUGGUACUUCUGGAGUAAGCCCCGGCUAACUACGUGCCAGCAGCCGCGGUAAUACGUAGGGAGCAAGCGUUGUCCGGAUUUACUGGGUGUAAAGGGUGCUCAGGCGGAUUUGUAAGUCAGAGGUGAAAUCUUACAGCUUAACUGUGAAACUGCCUUUGAUACUGCAAGCCUAGAGUAUGGAAGAGAGUGAUUGAAUAUCUGGUGUAGCAGUGAAAUGCGUAGAUAUCAGAUAGAACACCAAUGGCGAAGGCAGUCACUUGGUCCAUUACUGACGCUAAAGCACGAAAGCGUGGGUAGCAAACA
rnacentral:rRNA from 1 species